CGGACUUAGUCCAUUAUCUGCAAGUGAAUUUCGAUGUUCCAUAUGUUUAUUUUCUGAAAUGUUCAUUAACGCUUCCACCGCGCCCACUGAAUCGUUCUAUAAACGUGGAGUGCAUGUUGACAGUUACCUUUCGAGACGCGCCCUUUUAUGUCUAUCUUUCGUUGCCCCUCACUCACUCUCCAAUAAUUUGCAGGCCCCAGAAGUUGUACGUACCCAGAAUUGGAUAGCCUAGUAAAUACUGCACGUGGUUAUACAAACCCUGAGUCAACAGAUGCGUUUUGUGUCAACUCAGGAUCCAGUGAUUCGAGUAGGUAACCUUGUUGCUCCAAAUAAUGGCAUGCCAUAAGGAGAUACUGCUUUAGAACUCCACAUUUUUGGUCCAAUUUCUACAGUCUUUUAGAUGAUGCCAACUCCCCCGCACUUAACUCUUACCUACCUGAUCUGCAUAGACAUUGAAAAUAUCUUCUUGCAAGAGUCAACUUUUCUCUUGGCUAACUCUUGAAGCUGCAUAAAAUCUUGCAUAAUUACUAUAAUGUUGAGUUACGUUUAGAAAAAAUGAUUUUUUUUUGAGGAAUAAAUUUCAC
rnacentral:lncRNA from 1 species